UCCGAGUUGACCCCGGCAGUCUCCUGCGAGUCCCCGCCAUUACGCGCUGGCAACACAGGACAAGGGUUGCGCUCGUUGCGGGACUUAACCCAACAUCUCACGACACGAGCUGACGACAGCCAUGCACCACCUGUAUACCGACCACAAGGGGGGGCCACAUCUCUGCAGCUUUCCGGUGUAUGUCAAACCCAGGUAAGGUUCUCCGCGUUGCAUCGAAUUAAGCCACAUGCUCCGCCGCUUGUGCGGGUCCCCGUCAAUUCCUUUGAGUUUUAGCCUUGCGGCCGUACUCCCCAGGCGGGGUGCUUAAUGCGUUAGCUCCGGCACGGAAAGGGUUGAAGACCUCCCCACACCUAACACCCAACGUUUACGGCUGGGACUAC
rnacentral:misc_RNA from 1 species